rnacentral:lncRNA from 1 species
AAGCUGUUUGCUUGAGCAUUUAAGGAUAACAGAGACCUGUCACAGAGCUGCUACAAUGAUUUAUUAAAAGACAGAGGGAAAUGAGAGAAAAAGGUCCUUGCUCACUUCUCGCACCAGCUGCCUUUCUUUCUUUCUUACAUGUUUUCCUUUCUCUCUUUCUUUCUCUCUCUUUCUUUUUUCUCUCUUUCUUUCUUUCUCUCUCUUUUUCUCUUUCUUUUUUCUCUCUUUCUCCUUUCUUUCUCUCUUUCUCUCUUU